ACAAUGAUACUUCCGUAAUUCGCGGCCCGUUCAGAAAGCAGACGGGGUGGCUGAGAUGCCAAUGG
rnacentral:ncRNA from 1 species